rnacentral:tRNA from 1 species
GCCGUCGUAGGCGACGGUGGGCCCGGCGGCCAGGUGGGCGGUGAAGCGCAUCCGGCCGCGUGGGCUGUCGGGUUCGACUCCCUCGUCGGCGC